UACGAAGGGUGCAAACGUUGCUCGGAAUUAUUGGGCGUAAAGCGCACGUAGGCGGCUUUGCAAGUCGGAUGUGAAAUCCCUCGGCUUAACCAAGGAAGUGCAUCCGAAACUGCAGAGCUUGAGUACUUAAGAGGAUCGCGGAAUUCCCGGUGUAGUGGUGGAAUGCGUAGAUAUCGGGGGGAAUACCAGUGGCGAAAGCGGCACCCUAGCGUUAGCCUGACGCUCAUGUGCGAAAGCGUGGGGAGCGAACGGG
rnacentral:rRNA from 1 species